rnacentral:rRNA from 1 species
GACGAACGCUGGCGGCGUGCUUAACACAUGCAAGUCGAACGGAAAGGCCCUGCUUUUGUGGGGUGCUCGAGUGGCGAACGGGUGAGUAACACGUGAGUAACCUGCCCUUGACUUUGGGAUAACUUCAGGAAACUGGGGCUAAUACCGGAUAGGAGCUCCUGCCGCAUGGUGGGGGUUGGAAAGUUUCGGCGGUUGGGGAUGGACUCGCGGCUUAUCAGCUUGUUGGUGGGGUAGUGGCUUACCAAGGCUUUGACGGGUAGCCGGCCUGAGAGGGUGACCGGCCACAUUGGGACUGAGAGACGGCCCAGACGCCUACGGGAGGCAGCGGUGGGGAAUAUUGCACAGUGGGCGGAAGCCUGAUGCAGCAGCGCCGCGUGCGGGAUAACGGCCUUCGGGUUGUAAACCGCUGUCGCCUGUGACGAAGCGUGAGUGACGGUAAUGGGUAAAGAAGCACCGGCUAACUACGUG